rnacentral:rRNA from 1 species
GACGAACGCUGGCGGCGUGCUUAACACAUGCAAGUCGAGCGAGCAGAUUCCCUUCGGGGAUGAAGCUAGCGGCGGACGGGUGAGUAACACGUGGGCAACCUGCCCUAUAGAGGGGGAUAGCCUUCCGAAAGGAAGAUUAAUACCGCAUAACAUCAGAUUAUCGCAUGGUAGACUGAUCAAAGGAGUAACCCGCUAUAAGAUGGGCCCGCGUCGCAUUAGCUAGUUGGUGAGGUAACGGCUCACCAAGGCGACGAUGCGUAGCCGACCUGAGAGGGUGAUCGGCCACAUUGGGACUGAGACACGGCCCAGACUCCUACGGGAGGCAGCAGUGGGGAAUAUUGCACAAUGGGGGAAACCCUGAUGCAGCAACGCCGCGUGAGUGAUGAAGGCCUUCGGGUUGUAAAGCUCUUUGAUCAGGGACGAUAAUGACGGUACCUGAAGAACAAGCCACGGCUAACUACGUGCCAGCCGCCGCUGUAAAAC